ACCACCUGCCACCGAUCCUCAAUUUGCCUCGCAUCAACGUUUUCAACUACGUCACUUAACGAUGCCUCGUCUCAGCUCACUUCCUUGCCUCGCGCUGGCUCUCAUCACAGCGUUCCUCGCUGUUGAUACGGAGGGGCGCGCUUUCUUCGGCACAGGCUCCUUCUUCCAGGACGCGCAGCUGAACAACGGCACGACGACCGGCCUCGGGCUGUUCGGCUCCUUCCUGGAGGCGCUGGCCUCGCUGCACCAGACACACGACCUCUCCUCCUG